UAGUUGGUGGGGUAAAGGCCUACCAAGGCGACGAUCUGUAGCGGGUCUGAGAGGAUGACCCGCCACACUGGGACUGAGACACGGCCCAGACUCCUACGGGAGGCAGCAGUGGGGAAUAUUGGACAAUGGGCGGAAGCCUGAUCCAGCCAUGCCGCGUGUGUGAAGAAGGCCUUUUGGUUGUAAAGCACUUUAAGCGAGGAGGAGGCUACCUGGAUUAAUACUCUGGGAUAGUGGACGUUACUCGCAGAAUAAGCACCGGCUAACUCUGUGCCAGCAGCCGCGGUAAUACAGAGGGUGCGAGCGUUAAUCGGAUUUACUGGGCGUAAAGCGUGCGUAGGCGGCUUUUUAAGUCGGAUGUGAAAUCCCCGAGCUUAACUUGGGAAUUGCAUUCGAUACUGGGAAGCUAGAGUAUGGGAGAGGAUGGUAGAAUUCCAGGUGUAGCGGUGAAAUGCGUAGAGAUCUGGAGGAAUACCGAUGGUGAAGGCAGCCAUCUGGCCUAAUACUGACGCUGAGGUACGAAAGCAUGGGGAGCAAACAGGAUUAGAUACCCUGGUAGUCCAUGCCGUAAACGAUGUCUACUAGCCGUUGGGGCCUUUGAGGCUUUAGUGGCGCAGCUAACGCGAUAA
rnacentral:rRNA from 1 species